rnacentral:rRNA from 1 species
AUGCAAACAAAAGAAGCUGCGGAAGCUUUGCCGAUACUGGAUCAGAUGACUCAAAGGGGAAUAAAAUGUACCACUAUUUCUUAUACAACUCUAAUCAACGAAAUGCUCAGAGAAGGGAAGGAAGACCGUGCUAAAAGGAUGUUCGAUGAAAUGGUUUCAUCAGGUCAUAAGCCAAGUGCAACCACAUAUACUGUAUUCAUUAACUCAUACUGCAAGGAAGGUCGAAUUGAGGAUGCUGAGAACUUAAUAGUGGAAAUGGAGAGAGAAGGUGUUGCUCCUGGUGUAGUGACCUAUAACACAUUCAUUGAUGGCUGUGGGCAUAUGGGAUAUAAUAACCGCGCAUUUGAUACUCUGAAGCACAUGAUGGAUGCAUCAUGUGAGCCAGAUUACGGGACCUAUUGUAUUCUUCUCAAGCAUCUUCUGAAAGGGAAUCUUAAUGUCAGUUAUGUAGAUGCUUCCGCCUUGUGGAACUUGAUAGAGUUGGAUACUUUCUGGCAGUUUCUUGAAAGAAUGUCACAAUAUUGUUUAAAUCCCACUAUGAAGACAUUCAAUUCUCUCAUUGCAGGAUUCUGCAAAGCCAGCCGUAUUAAAGAAGCUUGUGUUCUUCUUGAUCAUAUGUGUGGAAAAGAUAUAACACCCAAUGAAGAGAUAUAUAUGUCGCUUAUCAAG